rnacentral:lncRNA from 1 species
UCUCAUGAGAUGGCAACCCUUUCCUGGAUUCGAACCUGUGGCACCAGAUAUGCCACUGAACUAUUCGUCCUUCCCUCCUUAAAUCAAGCGGGAAGAACUACUACGGCGUCACUAUGACGCGCCCGCCAGUGGGAGGAGAAGGAAAGGAGAUGGGGGGGAAACAAAUCCAUAAAAAGUUCAGUAGUUCACAGCGUGGGAAAAUGGCUUUCCGGGACUGGUUGCUGGUGCUGUUUGCGUCCCGUCUUUCUCUUUCUGGCUGUGACGGUCUGAGAAAUUGUCCUUCUACUAACUUCUCCUUAUCUGAAGAUUCAUCUAUGAUCCUUGCAGCAAAUAUAACAAACCACGACAGCAUCCUUGAUUUAUACAAAAAGAAUGAGUCUACCUCUGAUUGGGAAUAUGUCCUGUGCAUAAGGAAUGGGCAUAUUAGCUGUUGGAACAGUGAACAUGCCUCUUACUUCUCUCUAUCACACAAUGACUUUGCUGUCAAGAAUGCUAAAGAAGUCAUAACUGGUUAUUAUAAAUUUGUUCGUUCCCUUAACUCAUCUUGCAUGCAGCAAUUCUUCAUUGCGGUUUUUGGUAAGAUUUUCUGUUCUCUCAGUUCAUCUGCACUUGACAUAUGUGGGGAAAGGAUACUGCUAGCAGGCCAUAUGAAGCAAUCAGAUAGUGAUGGAAAGAUGGAAGGGGUGUAUCAGGGGAAAUAGGAUACGAAAGAAGCCGCUUGACAGGGCACCAAAGGUUGGUGGAAUGCUGUAGGAAUGGCAAGUGCCCCAAAGGGCUAGUUGACCAAUGCAGGAGCCAAAAUGUUGGCUCAUGUGCCAACCUUCUUGAUUGGCUCAGUCAUCCAGAUCUGCAUUUCUCCCUGUUUUUUGUGUGAGCAUCUAAUCUGAAUUUGAACCUGUGAUUUCCUGUAUAUUACUGGUUUAGGUUUUUUCCUAACUGGCUAAGACUCCUCUUGCAGGGCAUGUACAGUGGUGCCUCGCAUAACGAGUGCACCGUUUAACGACGAAUCGGCAUAGCGAUGCGGAUUUUGCGAUCGAAAAACCGAUUGCAUUGCGAUGUUUUAAUAGGGUAAACAUUGCAUUGUGAUGAUCGGUAAGCGUUUCGCUUACCGAUCUUUGCAUUGCGAUGUUUUCCAACAACUGAUCGGCAGUUCCAAAACGGCCGCCGGAAGAAGAAAAUGGCUGCCCGCAGCAUUUUCGCGCCGAUUCCUCGCUUACCGAGGCUGCGAAAAUGGCGGCCGGAUUGAGAAUUUCCGCUUAGCGGUGAGUUUUGUCCCCAUAGGAACG